ACCUGAACUCAAACGUGAUUACCCGCUGAACUUAAGCAUAUCAGUAAGCGGAGGAAAAGAAACUAAAAAGGAUUCCCGUAGUAACGGCGAGUGAACUGGGAAUAGUCCAGCGCUGAAUCGUGGUGCCUCCGGUACUGUGAGGUGUAGCGUACAGACAACAAUCUUGGGUGGCCACUCCGUUCAAAUUCCCCUUGAUCGGGGUCCCGUAGAAGGUGCAAGGCCUGUCCAACGGAUGUCUACCAGUCCAUCUUUGCUUGUCUUGGAGUCGGGUUGUUUGGGGUCGCAGCCCAAAGCAGGUGGUAAACUUCAUCUAAGACUACAUAUGACCACGAGUCCGAUAGCGAACAAGUACCGUGAGGGAAAGUUGCAAAGCACUUUGAAGAGAGAGUUAAACAGGACGUGAAACCGAUGAGGUGGAAACGGACAGAGCCGGCGUAUCUGGCCUGUAUUCAACUGGAGACCCAAGCACAUUGGGUAGGCCUUUUCCAGAUUGGACAGGCGAUCCAACUGUUUGGGGGUCUACAGUGCAUUUGCAGGUGGAGUGCGCUGAGGUGGUCGGGUUAGCGGUGUGAUCUCGGGUUUGAGGCCAGCCCCUCGAGGUAUGGUACCCGGCUCGGUGGAGUGCUGUUUAGCCUGUUCAACUCAACUUGUAUGGAAAUGGUCUCGGGUCCGGCUGAUAUCCAGCUAGCAACCGGUGGCGGUCGCAUGCGACACGUGCUGGUGGUUGGUUGGGUACUGGUCUGGCUCCCAUAUUUUCCAAUCCUCGGUGUAAAAGCCGGUCAUCUGUCCGACCCGUCUUGAAACACGGACCAAGGAGUUUAGCGUGUGCGCGAGUCAUUGAGUGUUGGAAACCCAAAGGCGCAAUGAAAGUGAAGGUCUCUCUUGUGGAGCUGAUGUGUGACCCGGAUCACCGAGGUGGCCCGGAGCAACAUGGUCCCGUCCUGAUCGCUUGCGAUGGGGCGGAGACAGAGCGUACGCGCUGAGACCCGAAAGAUGGUGAACUAUUCCUGAGCAGGACGAAGCCAGAGGAAACUCUGGUGGAAGUCCGAAGCGAUUCUGACGUGCAAAUCGAUCGUCUGACUUGGGUAUAGGGGCGAAAGACUAAUCGAACCAUCUAGUAGCUGGUUCCUUCCGA
rnacentral:rRNA from 1 species